rnacentral:rRNA from 1 species
UACGAAGGGGGCUAGCGUUGUUCGGAAUCACUGGGCGUAAAGGGCGCGUAGGCGGCUUUGUAAGUCGGGGGUGAAAGCCUGUGGCUCAACCACCGAAUUGCCUUCGAUACUGCAUGGCUUGAGACCGGAAGAGGUAAGUGGAACUGCGAGUGUAGAGGUGAAAUUCGUAGAUAUUCGCAAGAACACCAGUGGCGAAGGCGGCUUACUGGUCCGGUUCUGACGCUGAGGCGCGAAAGCGUGGGGAGCAAACAGG